GCAUGCGUAUGCACUUCAUUAGAAGUUACUUCACGCGUAUAUUAAGUGCGUGUCGGGGACUGGCGGAUAGGAGACCUUUUUUACAUCCUCUAGAUCCCAGAGUAAAUGCGCUCAUCAGGCCCGUCUUGAAACACGGACCAAGGAGUCUAACAUGUAUGCGAGUCGUAGGGUGGAAAACCUGAAGGCGGAAUGAAAGUGAAGGCAGGCUCGGUCUGCUGUGGUGGGAACCGUAGCCCAUGGGCUGCGGGGCACCAUCAACCGAUCAUGAUCCUCGGUGAAUGAUUUGAGUGUGAGCACACAUGCUGGUACCCGAAAGAUGGUGAUCUAUGAUUGGAGAGGGUGAAGGCAGACGAAAGUCUGCUGGAGGCUCGUAGCGAUACUGACGUGCAAAUCGUUCGUCACAUCUGAUCAUAGGGGCGAAAGACUCAUCGAACCAUCUAGUAGCUGGUUCCCUCCGAAGUUUCCCUCAGGAUAGCUGGAGCUCGAUAGAAACAGUCUUGUCAGGUAAAGCGAAUGAUUAGAGGAUUCGGGGAUGAAACAUUCUCGACCUAUUCUCAAACUUUAAAUGGGCAAGAGGUCCUUGUUGCUUAAGUGAACUUGGACGUUGGAUGCAGAGUUCUUAGUGGGCCAUUUUUGGUAAGCAGAACUGGCGAUGUGGGAUGAUCCGAACGCCGAGUUAAGGCGCCAAACUACGCGCUCAUCAGAUACCACAAAAGGUGUUGGUUGAUACAGACAGCAGGACGGUGGCCCAUGGAAGGUUGGAUCCGCUAAAGGAGUGUGUAACAACUCUCCUGCCGAAUCAAACUAGCCCUGAAAAUGGAUGGCGCUUAAGCGCGUGGCCUAUAACUCGGCCGUCAUUGCAAAUGCGAAGCUUUGACGAGUAGGAGGGCGUGAUGGUUGCAAAGCACCCUAGGGCGUGAGCCCGGGCGAAGCGGCCAUUAGUGCAGAUCUUGGUGAUAGUAGCAAAUAUUCAAAUGAGAACUUUGAAGACUGAAGUGGAGAAAGGUUCCAUGUGAACAUUGAUUGGACAUGGGUUAGUCGAUCCUAAGAGAUAGGCGAACGCCGUUCUGAAUGUGUGUUGUGCGGCGCGUGCUUUCGGGUGCGCGUCGUGUCCACACUCCUAUCGAAAGGGAAUUGGGUUAAUAUUCCCAAACCUGCGGAAGAUAUUCUUGCGGUAACGCGAACGAACACGGAGACGUCGGCCGAUACCCCUGGAAGAGUUCUCUUUUCUUGUUAACAAGUCAGUGGCCAUGGAAUCAGUUUACCUGGAGAUAUGGCUGUAUGCUUGGGAAAGCAGAUCGAUUCUUGGUCUGUCAGGUGCGUUUCGGACGGCCCUUGAAAAUCCGUGGGAGAGUGUAAUUUUUCCGUUGGUCGUACUCAUAACCGCAUCAGGUCUCCAAGGUGAUCAGCCUCUAGGUCAAUAGAAUAAUGUAGAUUAAGGGAAGUCUGCAAAAUAGAUYCCGCUAACUUCGGGAAAAGGAUUGGCUCUGAAGGCUGGGUCGGAGGGUCCGCUCUCUGAAGCCCGGAACUGUCUGCCGGGAGCUAAGGCGACUGUCCUUCACGGGACGGAUGCUUUGGAACCCGCGGACGUCUUGGUGGAAGGUUGCGGAACGCGGGUCCCUCACGGGGCUUUGCAUUCCUCCGGCGAUUAACAGCCACUUCAGAACUGUUUCGGACAAGGGGAAUCCGACUGUUUAAUUAAAACAAAGCAUUGCGAUGGUCGUUGGUCGAUGUUGACGCAAUGUGAUUUCUGCCCAGUGCUCUGAAUGUCAAAGUGAAGAGAUUCAACCAAGCGCGGGUAAACGGCGGGAGUAACUAUGACUCUCUUAAGGUAGCCAAAUGCAGCUCGUCAUCUAAUUAGUGACGCGCAUGAAUGGAUUAAUGAGAUUCCCACUGUCCCUAUCUACCUAUCUAGCGAAACCACAGCCAAGGGAACGGGCUUGGAAACAUCAGCGGGGAAAGAAGACCCUGUUGAGCUUGACUCUAGUCAGACUUUGUGAAUUGACUUGGAAGGUGUAGAAUAAGUGGGAGCUUUACGGCGCCAAUGAAAUACCACUACUCCCAAUGUUAAUUUGCUUAUUUAAUCAGGCAGGGCCGGCCUUCGGGCCUUGUUGUGGCGUUAAGUCUGCUGUUUCGGCAGCGGGCGACCUGUAUUAAAGACAUAGUCUGGUGGGGAGUUUGGCUGGGGCGGCACAUCUGUUAAAAGAUAACGCAGGUGUCCUAAGAUGGUCUCAAUGAGAACAGAAAUCUCAUGUAGAGGAAAAGGCCAAAGUGACCAUUUGAUUUUGAUUUUCAGUACGAAUACAAACUGUGAAAGGCAUGGCCUAUCGAUCCUUUAGGUCUUGAAAGUAUCAAGCUAGAGGUGUCAGAAAAGUUACCACAGGGAUAACUGGCUUGUGGCAGCCAAGCGUUCAUAGCGACGUUGCUUUUUGAUCCUUCGAUGUCGGCUCUUCCUGUCAUUGCGAAGCAGAAUUCGCCAAGUGUUGGAUGUCACCCACUAUAGGAACUAGCGGA
rnacentral:rRNA from 1 species